ensembl:lncRNA
AGCCAGACUCAGCCUCAAAAAAAAAUUUUUGUAGAGAGAUUGGGUUUUGCCAUCUAGUCCAGGCUAGUCUUGAACUCCUGGGCUCAAGAGAUCUUUCUGCCUCUCAGCCUUCCCAAGUGCUGUGAUCACAGAUGCGAGCCUGUGUGAACCCUUAAAGAGCAGCCUUCCAUUAAUCUUUGGGGAUUUCACAACUCCUUAACUAAAGUGGAUAUUUAAUAAAUAUUUGUUAGAAAAUCUCAGCAAAUCAUUCAAGUGUCAGCUCAGGACAGGAGUUGAAAGCUCUUUGCCAGCAUAUUUUAAACUCACUUUUGGGACUGACCAUAUGUGAUUAUUGAAUAACCAUUUAAGAAAAAUGUUUGAGAACACAUUUGCAGGCUUCAAACUACAUAAAGAAACGGGAGAAAAGGAAUGAUGCCAAAGACUGGGGUCAAGGUUAAAAAAAAUGAGAUUUAAAUUUGGAAAAUGAUAAAUUAACCAGAAAAGUUUAUGUAUUCGGGGUUUUACUAUGUGAUCUUGCUGCAGAACAAGUGGAGAAACUAACAACCCAUGGAAGAAAAUUCAUAUAAUACUGGGAUCAAGUCAAAACACCUGAUGGUUUUAGAGGACAGAAUUUUCAGAGAGAAAAACACAACCAGAUGACUUUCUGCACCCCUUCCCCAGGCCAUGGGUGCCUGCCUGAUUCCUAUAGUAAUGAAGGAACGUUUUCCUGAUGUGACCAUAUUCAUGGUGUCAGUGCAAUCUCAGCAGAGAUGACGCUCCCCACUCAAGCUGCCAUGUGACUUGACAGGGAUCACCAAGUUCCUGUUGUCAAGAGAGAACCCUGGGCAAGAACCAGGGCCAUGUUCUUUCCUGGUCGUCUUUUCCCUACUGCCUAAGGAGCUCAGCCAUGGAACGUGGAAAAGCUAUGGAGACAGUAACUCUGUGGUCAUGCCAGUCAGGUCCUUUUCUCACUUUUAUUGCAGACUGAAAGACUGUCCUGUCCUGAGGACAGGCUUAGCAUUUUCCAGUAUCAUGAUAUGUAAUGUCUAUUUUUUAUUUUCUUAAAAUGUUCGGUGGGAGAGUGUCUACAGUGAAAAAGGUAUAUAAUAUCAAAGGCUGGUGAGGAUGUGGAGCAACUGGAAUGACUGCACUCAGCUGAUAGAAGGGAAAAGUAGUACAACCACUUUGGAAACCUGGGAGAAUCUGCUAAAGCUGAACAUGUAUAUACCCCAAAGCCCAGCAAUUCCACUCCCAGGUGUAUAGCCAACGGAGAGAUGUACACAUGUACUAGAAUGUUCAUAGCAACACUAUUCAUAUUAACCUCAAACUGGAAACAAUAAGUUCAUCUAUAGUAGAAUGAAUAAAUUGUGGCAUAUUUAUAUGUGGGACACAGUAAUGACAUGAAAAAACUACAACUACAUGCAAUAAUAUACAUGGAUCUUACAAUGCUGAGCAAAGAAUCCGGACACAAUAGAGUCCAUAGUGUAUGAUUCUACUUACAUAAAAUCAAGAUGUUUAUAUUAAAGUAUAAAAAACAAUUUUUGAAGGUAAACUCAUCUAUGGUGUUAGAAAUCAGGAUCAUAAUUAUGUGGGAGCAGUGACUAGGCAUUAUACGAUUCUGGGGUGCUGGUAAUGCUCUGCUUUUUGAUAAAGUUAUUCAUUACAUGGAUUUGUCAUUUUGUGAAAAUUCAUCAAGCUGUGUACUCAUGAUUGGUUCACUUUUCUAUAUGUGUGUUAUACUUCAAUACAAUUUACAAAAAAAUAUACAGUGAGGUCUUUGGAACCUAUCUGUUAAAAGAGGUAUUUAAAAUCAUGAGUUGCAGGCCAGACACAGUGGCUCAUGCCUGUAAUCCCAGUACUUUGGGAGGCCAAGGCAGGCAGAUCACUUGAGCCCAGGAAUUCAAGACCAGCCUGGGCAACAUGGUGAAUCUCCAUCUCUACGAAAAAACACAAAAAUUUGGCCAGGCAUGGUAGCACACACCUGUAGUCCCAGCUACUCAGGAGGCUGAGGUGAGAGAAUCAUCUGAGCCCAGGAGGUUGAGGCUGCAGUGAGCCACGUUCACAUGACUGUACUCCAGCCUGGGCAACAGAGUAGACCCUGUGUCAAAAAGUAAAAAAUAAAAAUAAAUAAAAAUAAAAAUCACGAGUUGACUUCUACAUCAUUUCUUUACCAGUAGAAAUAAAGUAAAUUCUGAAAUCUUAUAGCAUACAAACGUGCCUUAUGUGUUAUUAAAUAUAAUUAGUCUCAACAUUUUUUUGUAAAAUGAUAGUUGUCUAUUUAGAAAGAAGCCCAUUUGCUAGCAUCUUUUUAAUAAGUGUUUAGUGAGAAGCAUGUGAGUUUGUUUUAUUUAGCCUGAAACUAAUUGUAUAGUGUGUCUGCUUCCUUAGAACAAAAUUGGUUGCCACUUUGUUAAGCAAUAGUAAAUAGGUCAAUUUCUGAAGGCCAGUAACGGAUCAUUUAUAAUUCAUUAGAUUGCUAAUAAAAUAAAAUUGGGGGUCUCAGUUGGGCUGCAGUAACAGAAUACCAUAGACUGGGU